rnacentral:rRNA from 1 species
UACGUAGGGUGCAAGCGUUGUCCGGAAUUAUUGGGCGUAAAGAGCUCGUAGGCGGUUUGUCGCGUCUGCUGUGAAAACCCGAGGCUCAACCUCGGGCCUGCAGUGGGUACGGGCAAACUAGAGUGCGGUAGGGGGAGAAUGGAAUUCCUGGCGUAGCGGUGGAAUGCGCAGAUAUCAGGAGGAACACCGAUGGCGAAGGCAGUUCUCUGGGCCGUAACUGACGCUGAGGAGCGAAAGCGUGGGGAGCGAACAGG